CGCCCAGCAGCAGAGCACACCAUCCUCUCCACUCGGAUCCCCAAGCCCUCGCCUCCAGCUUUGCCACGACAUCCGUCCCCUGCUCGGACCUCCACCCGGCCGCGUCCUCGCCGGUGGCCAGCGCCGCUGCAUCGCCAUUCCUAGCGUCGGCCUUGGCACCGCUUCCCCGAGCGCCCCAGUCGAGCUCGCCCAUCCUCUGCUCUAGCCCUUUCUCCACGCCGUAGCUGAUCUCGCCCCUCUCCUCAGCCAUGGACACGACGACCUGCAGCCCUUCUUGGUGGCCAAGCCCAUCUUCCUGCUCGCGCCCCCUCUUUUUCCACCUCUGCGCGUAUCAGCUCGUCCAACCCCCAUGGUGUUUCCUCCCUCUCGGCUCCCUUGCUCCCUCCCCAUGGCGUUCCCCCUAGAUGCUCGUGAUCUGUUCCCCACGGUGCAGGCAAAUGUUCUUUCCCUCCCUGCAGCAGCACCUUGGUGGUUGUCGAGCAGCACGUCGCGCUUGCGCAGCCUCGGUCACGACGUUGUUCACCCCGGUACGCUAAUGAUCGAGAUGCGAAGGCCAGGGUCUAGGUUGACCCCAAGUGGUGCAAAGGAUGGCCUACUUCGAGAGGCGAUGUCAGCGGACCAAUCUAGAAGAUUGAUGAUCUCUACAUAAAAACAUGAUUACAUUGAUUCAACUCUGAUCUGGUGUUUGGCAUUUGUUUUUCCUCUACAUUAGUUUCUCAUUAUUAUAUUUGUAUAGAUUUGUAUUCUUGAGACUAACCUAAUCAACAUUCUUUACAUAAUAAUAUUAUAAGGAGGAUUAAUUUCAUAUACAAUACUAUAUAUAAUGAGAUGAAUCAUUUGGCCUUACGAUAUGUGUAAGAAAUAAUGCUUUGAUAAUUGGCAGCCUAUCAAGAGUUUCAUUAGUGUAGAACAAUUGUUUUGUUGUUAACAUAGUGUAUAACAUUUGAUGUCGUAAUUUGUUUUGGAAGAAAAUUUAAUCUCAACAUAGAAUUUUUUACUGACAGGUUUAUGGUCUUUUAAUAUCUACAGGUUGUGGAAACUGAGAUCAUUGUAACUCAAAUGAGAGCUUGGCACUUAGCAUAUAGAUGCCACUAGAACCAAUCUGGAAAUACUGUGAGAUAUAGAGUGAUAAAAGGCAUUAAUGUAAGUACUACAUAAAUGUACUACUUGUAUUUUUUAAUAAUCAAUGCUUCAAAAGUCUAUAUAGAUGCUGACUGGUGUCAGGGUUUUCCCAUUAUUGUAAGUUUGUUACAAGCAAGUGCUUUCCCUCACACAACUUCACCUUUUCUUUACAUGUUUAUUACUUUUGUUUGCUGGUUUUGACUUACAGUGAAUUGUGUAUGCAACUAUUGUGGUAUAUCAAUGACCUUCCGAGAAGAUACAAUGGCGUUCUUAGUAGUAACGCUGCUUGAUUUCUAUAGUUGGAGUCAUCACACAGCUAACAUUUGCACUUUAACUGUUUGGUGAAAUGCUUGGGAGAAAGAGGCCAGCAAGAAUGGAGUCAUGGAACAUCGGCAGGAGGAGUGCAGCAGCGGCAACCGAUGUAUCCCUUGAACAAUCUGGUUUUGACAAGAUGCAAAUCAAUCUAGUGUACAUUGUAUUCCACACUUGCAAAGAUUGUUUGGCUAAUUACAAGAUUAUUUCAGUGUUU